UGGUGCUUCCAGUGACUGUAUAAUAAUCAAUGUAUCCUGACUCUAAAGAAAAGCAGAAGUGAAACUGAAAGUACAGACUACAAGGUGGAAUAUGAUCCCUCUACUAUCAACUAAAAGUCUUAGACUUGCUACCCUUCUGAAAAUGGUUCUGAAGGGGCCCAGGAAGAAACCUCCUCUUCCCCAGCUGAGUUGAGAACCAAGUGGAAGACAAAGAAGUUAGACAGCAGAUGAAAAAGUGACCUGCCUUGCACCUUGCCAGUUGGCUUGCUAGCUCUCCCCUGAUUUGAACUUCUGACAACAGAACAUGCUCCACCAAACUUACCAUGUGAAGGACAGCACAUGGGCAUUCUUUCUGAGACCUGCAAAGAAAACAAAGGGAGAGGCUAAGCAGACAAAGGAAAACUCUUUCUUCUCAAAUCAAUCAGAUAAUGAACUCCUGUUCCCUUUAGGAGAAAUGAGUGGGUGGGGAGAGAAAAGCAAGCAGUUGACCUCUGGAGGUCCUUAGACUUAAAAACAUAAAGCCCAAGGAAGAAAAUUCCUCCCCAGCAUUAACUUGGACCAGUAAUGUUUUUCUAUUUAUAUUCCAUAUGUAAAUAUGCCUGUGAGGUAUUAUGUAUUGUCUUUGUGCCUUUAAGUGCAUUUCUUUAAAAAAUCUGUAACUUUAAACUUAAAUAGAAAGGCACAAAAUGGAUUGUUAUUUUAUACAAUGGAGUUCUGAUAUUAAUUAUUGUUACUUCUCACAAAACAAGUACUAAAGAUUUCUUAGUUUUGGCUAAAAUAGUAUUGUGAAUUGUGGCUGAGUGGUGUGCUCUUUUUGAAUUUCCCAAUUUUAGCUCAUUCACUUCUCU
rnacentral:lncRNA from 10 species